AUCUGCCAUCUUAGGCUACGUUCACACUCGGGAAGCGGCAAGCGAACGGAAAAGCCAAAGCGGCCGGGAAAUCUUUUCCGCGCAUGCACAAAACGUCACAU
rnacentral:lncRNA from 1 species